UAGGGAAUCUUCCACAAUGGACGCAAGUCUGAUGGAGCAACGCCGCGUGAGUGAAGAAGGUUUUCGGAUCGUAAAGCUCUGUUGUUGGUGAAGAAGGAUAGAGGCAGUAACUGGUCUUUAUUUGACGGUAAUCAACCAGAAAGUCACGGCUAACUACGUGCCAGCAGCCGCGGUAAUACGUAGGUGGCAAGCGUUGUCCGGAUUUAUUGGGCGUAAAGCGAGCGCAGGCGGAAUGAUAAGUCUGAUGUGAAAGCCCACGGCUCAACCGUGGAACUGCAUCGGAAACUGUCAUUCUUGAGUGCAGAAGAGGAGAGUGGAACUCCAUGUGUAGCGGUGGAAUGCGUAGAUAUAUGGAAGAACACCAGUGGCGAAGGCGGCUCUCUGGUCUGCAACUGACGCUGAGGCUCGAAAGCAUGGGUAGCGAACAGGAUUAGAUACCCUGGUAGUCCAUGCCGUAAACGAUGAGCGCUAGGUGUUG
rnacentral:rRNA from 1 species